GGAUAACACUGUUUUGCUAUUUCGACUAAUAACACAAUGAUACGUAAAAUAACUUUUUCACGUAUCAUUGUGUUAUUGGCCGAAAAUAGCAAAAUCGUAAUAUCC
rfam:Prunus persica cultivar Lovell chromosome G7, whole genome shotgun sequence.